rnacentral:rRNA from 1 species
GUCCUUGCCGUAAACUAUGUAUACUUGGUGUAACUGGACUCAACCCUAGUUGUGCCGAAGCUAACGCGUUAAGUAUACCGCCUGGGAAGUACAGUCGCAAGGCUGAAACUCAAAAGAAUUGACGGGGACCCGCACAAGCAGUGGAGCAUGUGGUUUAAUUCGAUGCAACGCGAAGAACCUUACCCAGACUUGACAUGCAGUAGACCGGUCCAGAAAUGGGCCUUUCCUUCGGGACUGCUGCACAGGUGCUGCAUGGCUGUCGU